GCCGAUGUAGCUCAGCUGGCUAGAGCAGCUGAUUUGUAAUCAGCAGGUCGUGGGUUCGAGUCCCUCCAUCGGCUC
rnacentral:tRNA from 41 species